rnacentral:rRNA from 1 species
GCCAAAUAGCUAGCUUAAUUAUAAAACCAACCACUCAACAUAAUCAUGCUUAACAUAACCAAUAUUACAUAAACUAAAACAUUCUACCGCCCUAGUAUGGGAGACAGAAAAGGCACCCACUUAAAGCCAUAACAAAAGUACCGCAAGGGAAUGCUGAAAGAGAAAUGAAACAAAUCAUCCAAGCAUAAUAAAGCAGAGACUUGCCCUCGUACCUUUUGCAUCAUGAUUUAGCCAACAUCCCGAGCAAAGAGCACUUUAGUUCCCAACCCCGAAACUAAGUGAGCUACCUCAAGACAGCUUAUUAAUUAGAGCCAACCCGUUUCUGUCGCAAAAGAAUGGGAAGAUCUUCAGGUAGUGGUAAUAAAUCUACCGGACUUAGUUAUAGCUGGUUGCCUAAAAAAUGGAUAAAAGUCCAGCCCCGCACCCCUUAAAUCAUAGCCCCUUCCACAGCAUGAGCCAAAGAGACAUGCAGGAGUCAGUCAAAGGAGGUACAGCUCCUCUGAAACCGGAUACAACCAAAUCAGGCGGUCAAAGAUUAUAUUAAACUAAGGCCUCUCGCCCAGGUAGGCCUAAAAGCAGCCAUCCCCACAGAAAGCGUCAAAGCUCAGGCGAACCAAAACCUAUUAUCUAAAUAUACAAUCUAAAACCCCUAAUUCUAUUAGGCCAACCCAUGAUUACAUCGAAAAAAUAAUGCUAAAAUGAGUAAUAAGAAGAACCCUUCUCCUCGCCCACGUGUACAUUAGAUCGGACAAUCCACUAACAACUAUCGAACCCAACCCAAGAGGGAAAUGUGUCCUCAUAAAACAUCAAGAAGACAUCACAUUAUCAAAUCGUUAACCCCACACUGGAGGGCCACCAGGAAAGACCAAAAGAAAAAGAAGGAACUCGGCAAACACAAGCCCCGCCUGUUUACCAAAAACACCGCCUCUUGCAAGCAACGUAUAAGAGGUACCACCUGCCCAGUGACAAAUGCUUCAACGGCCGCGGUAUUUUAACCGUGCAAAGGUAGCGCAAUCACUUGUCUUUUAAAUGAAGACCUGUAUGAAUGGUAAAACGAAGGCUUAACUGUCUCCUUUUUCAAGUCAAUGAAAUUGAUCUGUUCGUGCAGAAGCGAACAUACAAAUACAAGACGAGAAGACCCUAUGGAGCUUUAGACAAAAGACCACCUGUGUCCAGAACUAAAAACUAGCUAAACCAAACAACGCCUGGUCCAAGUCUUCUGUUGGGGCGACCACGGGAGAAAAUAAAGCUCCCACGAGGACUGAGACUCACAACCUCAAAACCAAGAGAACCCCCUCUAAGUCUCAAAACAUUUGACCUAAUGAUCCGGCCCAGCCGAUCAACGAACCAAGUUACCCUAGGGAUAACAGCGCAAUCCCCUUCCAGAGUCCAUAUCGACAAGGGGGUUUACGACCUCGAUGUUGGAUCAGGACAUCCUAAUGGUGCAGCCGCUAUUAAGGGUUCGUUUGUUCAACGAUUAAAGUCCUACGUGAUCUGAGUUCAGACCGGAGUAAUCCAGGUCAGUUUCUAUCUGUAACGCCACUUUUUCUAGUACGAAAGGGCCGAAAAAGAGGAGCCUCUGUUAAUAACACGCCCCACCCCCACUUAAUAACACAAACUAAAUUAAAUAAGGGGGAGCACAA